AACGACCGCUGGCGGCAGGCUUAACACAUGCAAGUCGAACGCAUCGCAAGAUGAGUGGCAGACGGGUGAGUAGCGCGUGGGAACAUACCCUUUUCUACGGAAUAGCUCUGGGAAACUGGAAUUAAUACCGUAUACGCACUACGGGGGAAAGAUUUAUCGGGGAAGGAUUGGCCCGCGUUGGAUUAGCUAGUUGGUGGGGUAAAGGCCUAGCAAGGCGAUGAUCCAUAGCUGGUCUGAGAGGAGGAUCAGCCACAUUGGGACUGAGACACGGCCCAAACACCUACGGAAGUCAGCAGUGGGGAAUAUUGGACAAUGUGCGCAAGCCUGAUCCAGCCACGCCGCGUGAGUGAUGAAGGCCUUAGGGUUGGAAAGCUCUUUCACCUAAGAAGAUAAUGACGGUAGUCGGAGAAGAAGCCCCGGCUAACUUCGUGCCAGCCGCCGCGGUAAUAC
rnacentral:rRNA from 1 species